UACGUAGGGUGCGAGCGUUAAUCGGAAUUACUGGGCGUAAAGCGUGCGCAGGCGGUUUUGUAAGCCAGAUGUGAAAUCCCCGGGCCUAACCUGGGAAUGGCAUUUGGGACUGCAAGGCUUGAGUUUGGCAGAGGAGACUGGAAUUCCUGGUGUAGCGGUGAAAUGCGUAGAUAUCUGGAGGAACACCGGUGGCGAAGGCGGCAUUCUGGACCAAUACUGACGCUGAGGAGCGAAAGCCAGGGGAGCAAACGGG
rnacentral:rRNA from 1 species